rnacentral:rRNA from 1 species
CGUAGGGUGCGAGCGUUGUCCGGAAUUAUUGGGCGUAAAGGGCUCGUAGGCGGUUUGUCACGUCGGGAGUGAAAAACUCAGGGCUCAACCCUGAGCCUGCUUCCGAUACGGGCAGACUAGAGGUAUGCAGGGGAGAACGGAAUUCCUGGUGUAGCGGUGAAAUGCGCAGAUAUCAGGAGGAACACCGGUGGCGAAGGCGGUUCUCUGGGCAUUACCUGACGCUGAGGAGCGAAAGUGUGGGGAGCGAACAGGAUAGAUACCCUGGUAGUCCACGCCGUAAACGUUGGGCGCUAGGUGUGGGACUCAUUCCACGAGUUCCGUGCCGCAGCUAACGCAUUAAGCGCCCCGCCUGGGGGAGUACGGCCGCAAGGCUAA